rnacentral:snRNA from 1 species
CAACUUCGUUCCCCUUCAAAUAACGUAUAAAUCUUUCGCCUUUUACUAAAGAUUUCCGUGGAGGGGAAACUCGAUAAGUUUAUAACUAAAUUUUUGUCACACCCAACAUUUGUUGGGUA